UGAUCCCUACGGGAAGCAGCAGUGGGGAAUAUUGCGCAAUGGGCGAAAGCCUGACGCAGCGACGCCGCGUGAGGGAUGAAGGUCUUCGGGUCGUAAACCUCUGUCAGCAGAGAAGAACGGUCACUGUGCUAAUCAGCAGUGAAUUGACGGUACCUGCAAAGGAAGCACCGGCUAACUCCGUGCCAGCAGCCGCGGUAAUACGGAGGGUGCGAGCGUUAAUCGGAAUUACUAGGCGUAAAGCGCUCGUAGGCGGUAUGUCAAGUCAAGGGUGAAAUCCCCGCGCUCAACGUGGGAAC
rnacentral:rRNA from 1 species